rnacentral:pre_miRNA from 1 species
UCUUACAGAUGCACAGAAAGUGGUUUCGUGAGAUUGAAUCUACUUCUGGUGAAGAUGUUGUGAA